rnacentral:rRNA from 1 species
UACGUAGGGACCAAGCGUUGUCCGGAUUUACUGGGCGUAAAGGGCGCGUAGGCGGCAAUUCAAGUCAUCUGUGAAAUCUCCGGGCUUAACUCGGAACGGUCAGAUGAUACUGCUUUGCUAGAGUGCGGAAGGGGCAAUCGGAAUUCUUGGUGUAGCGGUGAAAUGCGUAGAUAUCAAGAGGAACACCUGAGGUGAAGGCGGGUUGCUGGGCCGACACUGACGCUGAUGCGCGAAAGCCAGGGGAGCAAACGGG